UGAGGAACAUGACCUUCGGCGGGGGAUAGCCGGCCCAACGGCCGGGUAAUACCGCGUACGACCUUCCGGGGACAUCCCUGGAUGGUGAAAGCAGCAAUGCGCCGAUGGAGUGCCUCGCGGCCUAUCAGCUAGUUGGUGAGGUAACGGCUCACCAAGGCAACGACGGGUANCUGGUCUGAGAGGAUGGCCAGCCACAUUGGGACUGAGACACGGCCCAGACCUCCGUAACGGGGAGCAG
rnacentral:rRNA from 1 species